rnacentral:misc_RNA from 1 species
GAUGAAGAACGUAGCGAAAUGCGAUAAGUAAUGUGAAUUGCAGAAUUCAGUGAUUCAUCGAAUCUUUGAACGCACAUUGCGCCCGCCAGUAUUCUGGCGGGCAUGCCUGUUCGAGCGUCAUUACAACCCUCAGGCCCCCGGGCCUGGCGUUGGGGAUCGGCGGAAGCCCCCUGCGGGCACAACGCCGUCCCCCAAAUACAGUGGCGGUCCCGCCGCAGCUUCCAUUGCGUAGUAGCUAACACCUCGCAACUGGAGAGCGGCGCGGCCACGCCGUAAAACACCCAACUUCUGAAUGUUGACCUCGAAUCAGGUAGGAAUACCCGCUGAACUUAAGCAUAUCAAUAAGCGGAGGA